GAACGAACGCUGGUGGCGUGUCUAUACAUGCAAGUCGAGCGAGGCAGCAAUGCCGAGCGGCGAACGGGUGAGUAACGCGUAAGCAAUCUGCCCCGUAUCAGGAAAUACCCGUGCCAACGCGCGGUUAAUGUCCAGGAGAGUGGGAGCCUGCAUGGGCUCUUGACUAGAGAUUUAUCGGUACGGGAUGAGCUUGCGUCCGAUUAGCUAGUUGGCGGGCAACGGCCCACCAAGGCGACGAUCGGUAGCCGGCCUGAGAGGGUGAUCGGCCACAUUGGGACUGAGAUACGGCCCAGACUCCUACGGGAGGCAGCAGUAGGGAAUAUUGCACAAUGGGGGAAACCCUGAUGCAGCAACGCCACGUGUGGGAAGAAAGCAUUUCGGUGUGUAAACCACUGUCAUGAGGGAAUAAGGCCUGUCUUCGGGCAGGAUUGAAUGUACCUUGAGAGGAAGCACCGGCAAACUUCGUGCCAGCCGCUGC
rnacentral:rRNA from 1 species